CACAGGUCAGAAUGGCCAUCAUUAAAAGGUCUACAAAUAAAGAAUGCUGGAAAGGGUAUGGAGAAAAAGGAACCCUCCUACAUACUGCUGGUAGUAAUGUAAACUGGCAUAGCCACUGUGGAGAACAGUUUGGAGGUUCCCUAAAAAACUAAAAUCAGAACUACCAUAUG